rnacentral:rRNA from 1 species
GUACGGGUGGCAGCAGUGGGGAAUCUUCCGCAAUGGGCGAAAGCCUGACGGAGCAACGCCGCGUGAUCGAAUGAAGGCCUUCGGGUUGUAACGAUCUGUUGACAGGGACGAAUAAGCAAUGCGAAUAGUUUUGUGUAUGACGGUACCUGUUUAGAAAGCUCCGGCUAAAUACGUGCCAGCAGCCGCGGUAAUACGUAUGGAGCAAGCGUUAUCCGGAUUUACUGGGCGUAAAGGGAGCGUAGGCGGCCUGCCAAGUCGGAUGUGAAAUACCGGGGCUCAACCCCGGGGCUGCAUUGGAAACUGGCAGGCUUGAGUGCCGGAGAGGCAGGCGGAAUUCCUAGUGUAGCGGUGAAAUGCGUAGAUAUUAGGAGGAACACCAGUGGCGAAGGCGGCCUGCUGGACGGUGACUGACGCUGAGGCUCGAAAGCGUGGGGAGCAAACAGGAUUAGAUACCCCAGUAGUC